GGGGGCGAGGUCGCCGGGGCGGCCGGCGCGGCCCGGGGCAGGCAGGGCGCUCACCUCCAGCACCACGCGGCCGAGGGGCAGGCCGUCGGCGCCCACGUCCAGGCCCUGCAGACAGAGAGACCAAGAGAGACGUGAGUGAGAGACAAAGGAGGAGGAGAUGAGGGGGAUUAGAGUGACGCCUCCCCUGGCGACCACAGGCCUCCUAGUCCUGGUCUGGCCCUGUCCCCGGAUGCCUCUAGACACCACAUCCUCUUCCCACAUCGCUGGAACUCAGCAGGUGCCCAGCAGGCUCUGGCCAGGCCCCAGCCCUCCACCAGGGGCUGAACUGUGAAGUCAUCCCUACCUGUACUGUCCUCAGCGGCAUCAGGAAGAGGGACAUUCCCUGGGCUGAGCCAUGAACGGAAGCAUGCCCCGCCCUCCAGGACUCCCGGCCCAGGCAGCCUCUGGCGGCCCCGUGGUGAGCCACCAAGGCUGGCUAGCAACUACGUGAGGGAUCUGGAUGUGGAUCUUGUGCAGCCUGCCAACAGCCAUGUGAAGGGGCUUGGAAGCAGAUCCAACAGAUCCAGUGGAGCCUUGGGGUGACGGUCCUUCCAGUCAAUGGCCCUAUUGCAACCCCAUUGUGAGAUGUAGGGCCAGAAGCAUGCAACUAAACCACACCUGGAAUCUGCCCCCCAGAAAGUGAGAAAAUAAAUUUUCGUUCUUUUAAGCCCCUC